rnacentral:rRNA from 1 species
AUUGAACGCUGGCGGCAGGCUUAACACAUGCAAGUCGGACGGUAGCACAGAGGAGCUUGCUCCUCGGGUGACGAGUGGCGGACGGGUGAGUAAUGUCUGGGGAUCUGCCCAAUAGAGGGGGAUAACCACUGGAAACGGUGGCUAAUACCGCAUAACGUCGCAAGACCAAAGAGGGGGACCUUCGGGCCUCUCACUAUCGGAUGAACCCAGAUGGGAUUAGCUAGUAGGCGGGGUAACGGCCCACCUAGGCGACGAUCCCUAGCUGGUCUGAGAGGAUGACCAGCAACACUGGAACUGAGACACGGUCCAGACUCCUACGGGAGGCAGCGGUGGGGAAUAUUGCACAAUGGGCGCAAACCUGAUGCAGCCAUGCCGCGUGUAUGAAGAAGGCCUUCGGGUUGUAAAGUACUUUCAGCGGGGAGGAAGGCGAUGUGGUUAAUAACCGCAUUGAUCGACGUUACCCGCAGAAGAAGCACCGGCUAACUCCGUGCCAGCCGCCGCCGUAA